rnacentral:rRNA from 1 species
UACGUAGGGUACAAGCGUUGUCCGGAAUUAUUGGGCGUAAAGAGCUCGUAGGUGGUCUGUCACGUCUGCUGUGGAAACGCAAGGCUCAACCUUGCGCGUGCAGUGGUACGGGCGGACGUAGAGUGCAGUAGGGGAGUCUGGAAUUCCUGGUGUAGCGGUGAAAUGCGCAGAUAUCAGGAGGAACACCGGUGGCGAAGGCGGGACUCUGGGCUGUAAACUGACGCUGGAGGAGCGGAAAGCAUGGGGAGCGAACAGGAUUAGACUACCCCGUACGUCC